rnacentral:rRNA from 1 species
GCCUACGGGGGGCUGCAGUGGGGAAUAUUGGACAAUGGGCGCAAGCCUGAUCCAGCCAUGCCGCGUGAGUGAAGAAGGCCUUCGGGUUGUAAAGCUCUUUCGACGGGGACGAUGAUGACGGUACCCGUAUAAGAAGCCCCGGCUAACUUCGUGCCAGCAGCCGCGGUAAUACGAAGGGGGCUAGCGUUGUUCGGAAUUACUGGGCGUAAAGCGAACGUAGGCGGUGUUCCAUGUCAGAGGUGAAAGCCUGGGGACCAACUCCAGAAUUGCCUUUGAAACGGGAACGCUUGAGUCCGAGAGAGGAUGGCGGAAUUCCUAGUGUAGAGGUGAAAUUCGUAGAUAUUAGGAAGAACACCGGUGGCGAAGGCGGCCAUCUGGCUCGGUACUGACGCUCAGGUUCGAAAGCGUGGGGAGCAAACAGGAUUAGAUACCCUGGUAGUCCA